rnacentral:rRNA from 1 species
GACGAACGCUGGCGGCGUGCUUAACACAUGCAAGUCGAACGGAAAGGUCCUGCUUUUGUGGGGUGCUCGAGUGGCGAACGGGUGCGUAACACGUGAGUAACCUGCCCUUGACUUUGGGAUAACUUCAGGAAACUGGGGCUAAUACCGGAUAGGAGCUCCUGCUGCAUGGUGGGGGUUGGAAAGUUUCGGCGGUUGGGGAUGGACUCGCGGCUUAUCAGCUUGUUGGUGGGGUAGUGGCUUACCAAGGCUUUGACGGGUAGCCGGCCUGAGAGGGUGACCGGCCACAUUGGGAAUGAGUUACGGCGCAGACUGCUACGGGAGGCAGCAGUGGGGAAUAUUGCAGAAUGGGCGGAAGCCUGAUGCAGAAGCGCCGCGUGCGGGAUGACGGCCUUCGGGUUGUAAACCGCUUUCGCCUGUGGCGAAGCGUGAGUGACGGUAAUGAGUAAAGAAGCACCGGCUAACUACGU